rnacentral:rRNA from 2 species
UACGAAGGGGGCUAGCGUUGUUCGGAAUUACUGGGCGUAAAGGGUGCGUAGGUGGUUAUGUAAGUCAGAAGUGAAAGCCCUGGGCUCAACCCGGGAAUUGCUUUUGAAACUAUUUAGCUAGAGUUCGAGAGAGGUAAGUGGAAUAUCCAGUGUAGAGGUAAAAUUCGUAGAUAUUGGAUGGAACACCAGUGGCGAAGGCGGCUUACUGGCUCGAUACUGACACUGAGGCACGAAAGCGUGGGGAGCAAACAGG